AUGAAGACUGAUAAGUCUAUGGAACCUCCCAUUUUGUUUAAAGACAGAGAUGUUCUCACUGAAGAAAGAGUCCAUCAGAAGAGACCAGUUUCCCCUGUUCCCAGCUGUCUUUCAAUGAAGACUGAUAAGUCUAUGGAACCUCCCAUUUUGUUUAAAGACAGAGAUGUUCUCACUGAAGAAAGGUAAGUGUAUUCAGGUUUCCUGUGGCUCCAAGGUCAUUUUGAACUGGACUGUAGAACUAAGUCUUUUGGUUAAUUUAACAGAGUCCAUCAGAAGAGACCAGUUUCCCCUGUUCCCAGCUGUCUUUCAAUGAAGACUGAUAAGUCAAUGGAACCUCCCAUUUUGUUUAAAGACAGAGAUGUUCUCACUGAAGAAAGACAAGUGUAUUCAGGUUUCCUGUAGCUCCAAGGUCAUUUUGAACUGAGCUGUUGAACUAAGCCUUUUGGUUAAUUUAACAGAGUCCAUCAGAAGAGACCAGUUUCCCCUGUUCCCAGCUGUCUGUCCAUGAAGACUGAUCGGUCUAUGGAACCUCCCAUUUUGUUUAAAGACAGAGAUGUUCUUACUGAAGAAAGACAAGUGUAUUCAGGUUUCCUGUAGCUCCAAGGUCAUUUUGAACUGAGCUGUUGAACUAAGUCUUUUGGUUAAUUUAACAGAGUCCAUCAGAAGAGACCAGUUUCCCCUGUUCCCAGCUGUCUGUCCAUGAAGACUGAUCGGUCUAUGGAACCUCC
rnacentral:lncRNA from 1 species